UGAGCAAUCUGCCCUCAGCUCUGGGAUAACUCCGGGAAACCGGGGCUAAUACCGGAUACGACCAUUCCUGGCAUCUGGGGUGGUGGAAAGUUUUUCGGCUGAGGAUGGGCCCGCGGCCUAUCAGCUUGUUGGUGGGGUCACGGCCCACCAAGGCGACGACGGGUAGCCGGCCUGGGAGGGCGACCGGCCACACUGGGACUGAGACACGGCCCAGACUCCUACGGGAGGCA
rnacentral:rRNA from 1 species